AUUGCAUCUAAUGUCGGAUUAACUCCAAGUCAAGGUAGAAUCAAUCUAAAAUUAUUCUCAACAAUCCAUAAUCAUUCCUAUAUCAUUUAACACAUAAUUAAAGGCAAUGAUAAUAUUAGAAAAAUGAAUUAUGGAUAAAAUAGACAAUGGAAACUUGCUUUGACUUAACCUAUUUUUCAUUAAUGCAAACUGACACCUUUGAAGCCCUAAACAAAACUCCAAUUAAACAUAUAAAACACUCAACAUUCAAUUUUGCUUCAAAUUGAUGUCGAAAUUGGCUUUGGGCGUCAAGAAUUGCAUUUUGGAGUUGCUGGGUUUUAGGCUUGCCAAAGCGCCACCACUAGAAAUUUGAGAAAAGCUACCAAUAGAAGCACGUCGAUGUCAAGAGAGCUGUGGAAGUGGUUGCCGGAGCAAAUAUGUUGUCGUCUGGCUCAACUGAAGCCAAAAUUACCGCCACUUAAUUUUCCGAUCUGUCGAAAAACUCCAUGAAAGUUGGUCGUGGAUAAAAUGUGGCGUUGAAAGGAGUCCUGUCGUGUGGUCGGUUUCAAAAAUGGAGGUUUGGUUCACCGAAAACAACGGAGGUCGGUUUCAAAAAUGGAGAAUACAUUGGUUCUCUAUCCACCGCCGCUGCUGUUCAGCCACUCAACACCCCCUUACACGCAUUCACCAAAGGCCAUGGAAGUAGUAAUGAUGGGUGGCCAGAGUUAGAAGUCACCAGAGCUAUCCAUCUCUCAUCUCAGCUCGUUCUUCCUCCCAUCUUUCAUAUUCUUUCUUUUAUUUUAGGGCAGUUGGUUUAACCUUUGGAUACGGCGAUAACCGUUAGGC
rnacentral:misc_RNA from 1 species